UACAGAGGUGGCAAGCGUUGUUCGGAAUUACUGGGCGUAAAGGGCGCGUAGGCGGCCUUCUAAGUCAGACGUGAAAUCCCCCGGCUUAACCUGGGAACUGCGCUUGAGACGUGUGGGCUUGAGUGGGGAAGAGGGUCGUGGAAUUCCCAGUGUAGAGGUGAAAUUCGUAGAUAUUCGGAAGAACACCAGUGGCGAAGGCGACUCACUGGACAUGUAUUGACGCUGAGGUACGAAAGCGUGGGGAGCAAACAGG
rnacentral:rRNA from 1 species